rnacentral:misc_RNA from 1 species
GAAAUAAUAGAGAGCAACCGACCUGAGCCUAAUUGGCCUGCUGUUGGCAAAGUGGAAAUACAUAACGUGAAGGUUAGAUAUCGGCCCAAUGCUCCACUAGUUCUCCACGGUAUAUGUUGCACUAUUGAAGGAGGAUACAAAAUUGGGAUAGUUGGCAGAACUGGAAGUGGAAAGACAACUCUCAUCAGUGCUUUGUUUCGUCUGGUAGAGGCUACAG